rnacentral:rRNA from 1 species
CCUACGGGAGGCAGCAGUAAGGAAUAUUGGUCAAUGGAGGCAACUCUGAACCAGCCAUGCCGCGUGCAGGAUGACGGCCCUAUGGGUUGUAAACUGCUUUUAUACAAGAGAAAACCCUGGUACGUGUACCAGGUUGAUAGUAUUGUAAGAAUAAGCAUCGGCUAACUUCGUGCCAGCAGCCGCGGUAAGACGAAGGAUGCAAGCGUUAUCCGGAUUCAUUGGGUUUAAAGGGUGCGUAGGCGGACUGAUAAGUCAGUGGUGAAAUCUCUUUGCUUAACAAAGAAACUGCCAUUGAUACUGUCGGUCUAGAGUAUAGAUGACGUUGGCGGAAUAUGACAUGUAGUGGUGAAAUACUUAGAUAUGUCAUAGAACACCGAUUGCGAAGGCAGCUAACGAAACUAUAACUGACGCUGAGGCACGAAAGUGCGGGGAUCAAACAGGAUUAGAUACCCUGGUAGUCCGCACCGUAAACGAUGAUUACUCGUUGUUGGCGAUAUGACAGUCAGCGACCAAGCGAAAGCGAUAAGUAAUCCACCUUGGGGAGUACGCCGGCAACGGUUGAAACUUCAAANAGAGUUGAGGNGNGAGAGNGCGAGGCGACGACGAGGAGAG